rnacentral:tRNA from 1 species
GCGGGUGUGGCGGAAUGGUAGACGCAGGGCACUCAAAAUGCUCCGCCGCAAGGCAUGGGAGUUCGACUCUCCCCACCCGCACCA